UACGGGAGGCAGCAGUGGGGAAUAUUGCACAAUGGGCGCAAGCCUGAUGCAGCCAUGCCGCGUGUAUGAAGAAGGCCUUCGGGUUGUAAAGUACUUUCAGUCGUGAAGGAAGGUGUUAAGGUUAAUAACCUUAGCAAUUAGACGUUAGCGACAGAAGAAGCACCGGCUAACUCCGUGCCAGCAGCCGCGGUAAUACGGAGGGUGCGAGCGUUAAUCGGAAUUACUGGGCGUAAAGGGCACGCAGGCGGUUAAUUAAGUUGGAUGUGAAAUCCCCGGGCUUAACCUAGGAAUGGCAUUCAAGACUGGUUAGCUAGAGUCUUGUAGAGGGGGUAGAAUUCCAUGUGUAGCGGUGAAAUGCGUAGAGAUGUGGAGGAAUACCGGUGGCGAAGGCGGCCCCUGGACAAAGACUGACGCUCAUGUGCGAAAGCGUGGGGAGCAAAC
rnacentral:rRNA from 1 species